GACGAACGCUGGCGGCGUGCCUAAUACAUGCAAGUCGAACGCACAGUUUAUACCUUCGCUUGCUACACCAUAGACUGUGAGUUGCGAACGGGUGAGUAACGCGUAGGUAACCUGCCUGGUAGCGGGGGAUAACUAUUGGAAACGAUAGCUAAUACCGCAUAAUAUUAAUUAUUGCAUGAUAAUUAAUUGAAAGGUGCAAUUGCACCACUACCAGAUGGACCUGCGUUGUAUUAGCUAGUAGGUGAGGUAACGGCUCACCUAGGCGACGAUACAUAGCCGACCUGAGAAGGGGAUCGGCCAAACUGGGACUGGGACACGGCCCAGAAGCCUACGGGAGGCAGCAGUAGGGAAUCUUCGGGAAUGGACGAAAGGCUGACCGGGGAACGCCGCGUGAGUGAAGAAGGUUUUCGGAUCGUAAAGAUCUGUUGUAAGAGAAGAACGGGUGUGAGGGUGGAAAGUUCACACUGUGACGGUAUCUUACCAGAAAGGGACGGCUAACUACGUG
rnacentral:rRNA from 1 species